UAUUUGAUAAUACCUUACUACUUGGAUAACCGUGGUAAUUCUAGAGCUAAUACAUGCUGAAAAUCCCGACUUCGGAAGGGAUGUGUUUAUUAGAUAAAAAACCAAUGCCCUUCGGGGCUCUUUGGUGAUUCAUGAUAACUUUACGGAUCGCAUAGCCUUGCGCUGGCGACGGUUCAUUCAAAUUUCUGCCCUAUCAACUUUCGAUGGUAAGGUAUUGGCUUACCAUGGUUUCAACGGGUAACGGGGAAUUAGGGUUCGAUUCCGGAGAGGGAGCCUGAGAAACGGCUACCACAUCCAAGGAAGGCAGCAGGCGCGCAAAUUACCCAAUCCCGACACGGGGAGGUAGUGACAAUAAAUACUGAUACAGGGCUCUUUUGGGUCUUGUAAUUGGAAUGAGUACAAUUUAAACCUCUUAACGAGGAACAAUUGGAGGGCAAGUCUGGUGCCAGCAGCCGCGGUAAUUCCAGCUCCAAUAGCGUAUAUUAAAGUUGUUGCAGUUAAAAAGCUCGUAGUUGAAACUUGGGCCUGGCUGGCGGGUCCGCCUCACCGCGUGCACUCGUCCGGCCGGGCCUUCCUUCUGAAGAACCUCAUGCCCUUCACUGGGCGUGUUGGGGAAUCAGGACUUUUACUUUGAAAAAAUUAGAGUGUUCAAAGCAGGCCUUUGCUCGAAUACGUUAGCAUGGAAUAAUAAAAUAGGGCGUGCGUUUCUAUUUUGUUGGUUUCUAGAGACGCCGCAAUGAUUAACAGGAACAGUCGGGGGCAUCAGUAUUCAGUUGUCAGAGGUGAAAUUCUUGGAUUUACUGAAGACUAACUACUGCGAAAGCAUUUGCCAAGGAUGUUUUCAUUAAUCAGUGAACGAAAGUUAGGGGAUCGAAGACGAUCAGAUACCGUCGUAGUCUUAACCGUAAACUAUGCCGACUAGGGAUCGGGCGAUGUUCUUUUUCUGACUCGCUCGGCACCUUACGAGAAAUCAA
rnacentral:rRNA from 1 species